rnacentral:rRNA from 1 species
GAUCCUGGCUCAGGAUGAACGCUAGCUACAGGCUUAACACAUGCAAGUCGAGGGGCAGCAUGGUCUUAGCUUGCUAAGGCUGAUGGCGACCGGCGCACGGGUGAGUAACACGUAUCCAACCUGCCGUCUACUCUUGGCCAGCCUUCUGAAAGGAAGAUUAAUCCAGGAUGGCAUCAUGAGUUCACAUGUCCGCAUGAAUUAAAGGUUAUUUUCCGGUAGACGAGUGGGGA